CACGCCGUAAACGAUGAAUACUAGGUGUAGGAGGUAUCGACUCCUUCUGUGCCGUAGCAAACGCAUUAAGUAUUCCACCUGGGGAGUACGGCCGCAAGGUUAAAACUCAAAGGAAUUGACGGGGGCCCGCACAAGCAGUGGAGUAUGUGGUUUAAUUCGAAGCAACGCGAAGAACCUUACCAGGGUUUGACAUCCUCUGACGAUAGUAGAGAUACUAUUUUCUUUUCGGAGACAGAGAGACAGGUGG
rnacentral:rRNA from 1 species